AACGAACGCUGGCGGCAUGCCUAACACAUGCAAGUCGAACGAGACCUUCGGGUCUAGUGGCGCACGGGUGCGUAACGCGUGGGAACCUGCCCUUAGGUUCGGAAUAACUCCCCGAAAGGGGUGCUAAUACCGGAUAAUGUCUUCGGACCAAAGAUUUAUCGCCUUUGGAUGGGCCUGCGUUGGAUUAGCUAGUUGGUAGGGUAAAAGCCUACCAAGGCGACGAUCCAUAGCUGGUCUGAGAGGAUGAUCAGCCACACUGGGACUGAGACACGGCCCAGACUCCUACGGGAAGCAGCAGUGGGGAAUAUUGGACAAUGGGCGAAAGCCUGAUCCAGCAAUGCCGCGUGAGUGAUGAAGGCCGUAGGGUUGUAAAGCUCUUUUACCCGGGAUGAUAAUGACAGUACCGGGAGAAUAAGCUCCGGCUAACUCCGUG
rnacentral:rRNA from 1 species